rnacentral:rRNA from 1 species
CUACGGGUGGCAGCAGUAACGAAUAUUCCGCAAUGCGCGAAAGCGUGACGGAGCAAUGCCGCGUGCAGGAUGAAGCCCCUCGGGGUGUAAACUGCUGUCAGGGGUUAGAAACUCAAUGAUCAACCCCAAAGGAAGAGCCGGCUAACUCUGUGCCAGCAGCCGCGGUAAUACAGAGGGCUCGAGCGUUAAUCGGAAUCACUGGGCUUAAAGGGUACGUAGGCGGAUGUAUAAGUAUCUUGUGAAAUCCCACGGCUUAACCGUGGAACUGCUCGGUAUACUAUAUGUCUUGAGGUCGGUAGGGGCUGCCGGAACUCUAGGUGGAGCGGUGAAAUGCGUAGAUAUCUAGAGGAACGCCAAUAGUGAAGACAGGCAGCUGGGCCGAUUCUGACGCUGAGGUACGAAAGCGUGGGUAGCGAACGGGAUUAGAUACCCGCGUAGUC